GCUUCCAAGCCCUCCCCCAACCCCCACCCCCACUCCCUCUCCGGAGUCCCAGUGGCGCCGGCCAACCGCUCUGUCUUCCUCCGGACAGUGGCUGAGCAGAAAGACCUGACCCGGGGUGUCAAGGUCUCGUGGUCAAUCCUAGGAGUCCCUCUCGUGUGGGAGCAUCUCCCGAAGCCUAGGGUGGUGGAUUGGAGGAUGUUCUACUUGGUCACCAUGGGCAUGGACACUCUAUAAAUGUCUCUGGGUUAUGAGAGUCAGACAGGGGCGGGCGCUUGUAGGCCGACCCUCCGCUGGAGGACAAUGGGAGCCUCGAGGAGGUCCAGAUGUCGCAACCAAGGAAAUGUCUGUCUGGUUCUCAACAUCCAGAGACCCAGAGCCACGCCCCCUGCCUCCCUCCUGCCCUCCGGGUGCGGGAAAUUGCCCAGGAUCUCAGGUCGGGGGAAGAACCCCCCCCCCCAACAGGUCCUCCCCACCCAACAGUACUCUGGUCCCACCAGGAGAGGUGUCUGAAGUCGUCCAGGACUCUGUGAAAUCCUCACUAUGGGUUGGCUACAGAAUCAGAACUAGGUCCCUGGUCUGACCCAUAUGGUGGCGCUCUAGGGCAUCCCGAAGGGUGUGUCAGCGGAUGCUCAAGAGGUGAGACCCGUGGCUUACUUCUGCAGUGGACAUGGUCCCUUGGAUCUGCUCUCCUCUCUUCCUGGCUUCCCAUUCCAGGAUGGUCAGCAGUCAUUCUUCUGUCUGUGUAGACCUCUGGCUGUGAUCUGCCUGGAGUGUCUCCAUCUGCUGCCCUCCUCCCACUCACGGUGGCCUCUGACCUUUGUAAAGUCCUUUCACUCACAGGAA